GACAGAGGGUGCAAACGUUGUUCGGAAUUACUGGGCGUAAAGCGCGUGUAGGCGGCAGGGCAUGUCGGAUGUGAAAUCCCGUGGCUCAACCACGGAAGUGCACCCGAAACUGCCCAGCUAGAGUCUCGGAGAGGAAGAUGGAAUGCUUGGUGUAGAGGUGAAAUUCGUAGAUAUCAAGCGGAACACCGGUGGCGAAGGCGGUCUUCUGGACGAUGACUGACGCUGAGACGCGAAAGCGUGGGGAGCAAACAGG
rnacentral:rRNA from 1 species